rnacentral:rRNA from 1 species
UACGUAGGGGCUAACGUUAUCCGGAAUUACUGGGCGUAAAGGGUGCGUAGGUGGUUUCUUAAGUCAGAGGUGAAAGGCUACGACUCAACCGUAGUAAGCCUUUGAAACUGGGAAACUUGAGUGCAGGAGAGGAGAGUGGAAUUCCUAGUGUAGCGGUGAAAUGCGUAGAUAUUAGGAGGAACACCAGUUGCGAAGGCGGCUCUCUGGACUGUAACUGACACUGAGGCACGAAAGCGUGGGGAGCAAACAGGAUUAGAUACCCUGGUAGUCCCUGAGCGGG